CUGCCUGACUGCAGACAUAACUGUGGCCAACUGCUUCAAGCUCUAGCCGCUAUGCCUUUCUAGCAUGGCAGACCAUGUCUCUCAAACUGUAAGCCCAAGUUGACCUUUCUGCUCCGGAAUUGCUUCUUCUCAGGUCUUGUUUCCAGCAUUCCUGGUUUCUUAUGGACCUGGGUGGCAAAGUUUGCAAACAUCCUGCUCCAAUCUUCAAUUGUCAUUCUUCUCACUGACCCAAUGGCUUCCUUUGCUGUGCAGAAGCUUCCUAGUUGGGUCCAAAUCACUUGAUCUAUUUUUGCUUCUGUUGUCUGUGUUUUCUUUAAUUAAAAAAAUGUAAUUGUG